rnacentral:rRNA from 1 species
GACGAACCGUGCGAACGUUGUUCGGAUUCACUGGGCUUAAAGGGCGCGUAGGCGGUCGACCAAGUCUGGGGUGAAAUCUUUCGGCUUAACCGGAAAAGUGCCCCCGAUACUGGCCGGCUAGAGGGAGAUAGGGGCAUGUGGAACUUCCGGUGGAGCGGUGAAGUGCGUAGAUAUCUGGAGGAACACCGGUGGCGAAGGCGGCAUCCUGGACCAAUAUUGACGCUGAGGAGCGAAAGCCAGGGGAGCAAACGGG